GGAGAAAGAAAAAGGGUCUGCUACAAAAGUGAAGUACUUCCCAGCAAUCUUACAGGAGUGGUUUAGUGUCUUCAAAAAGACCGUUAGCAUCACAACCGUUAACUAGAGGCUAACAAUUAGAGGCCCCAGUCCCUGCCAUGGUCCAUAGUUCCUCCUGCUCUGGUCUGGUGGUCUUCUGCUCUGUUGUGGAGGCCUUCUGCUCUGCACUGCUGGACUCCUGUUCUGUCUGCUCCGCCGUGGAGGUCUUCUGCUUCGUCUGCUCCAUACUGGUAGGUUCCUGCUCCGCCCUGGUGGGCUCCAGUCCCAUCUGCUCUGCCCUGGAGGGCUCCAGUCCUGUCUGCUCCGCCCUUGUGGGCUCCAGUCCCGUCUGUUCCACCCUGGCUUUCUGCUCUGCCGGCUCUGCCUCGGUCCCCGGCCACUCCACUUCCACGUGGACCUGGCCCUCCGUCCCUCCCCCUGUUCCGCCUCCGCUCCACCGCCCUCUUGGAUUGUAUAGGAGCGUCUGGAAGCCGCUCCUUGUGGGGGGGGGGCUAUGUCACGAAUCCGGUCUAUGAACUUCCGUUCACUCACCACCAGAGGUCACUCGUUCACCACAUUGACUCUUGCACUACGCUAACUGUUGCACUUCACCACAGACUACAAUUCCCAUCACCCACACGCAGCUGAUUGCACUAAUCUCACGCUCAUCUGAUCCUACGCACACACUGAAUGCACUGAUUACACGUCUUACUUAAACUAUGGACUUCCUCAGUAUUAUCGCAGAGUAUUGUAUAGCAUUUAUCACAGUCUUUGCUGAUAGCUACUCUACGGAGCCUACUUAGUUGUCUUAGUCUUGCCUUGCCUGUCUCCUCGUGUUUUGAUUCCUGUCCGUGUUUCCUGGAUUAACCCUUUGCCUUGCCCUGUUGGAUACUGUUCGCCGAUCGAAGACCCACACUUACUCUUUGUCUUGCCUGUAUUGUACCUGUUUGCCAUUGUUCGACCCUGCCUGUAUUUCUGACCAUGUCUUUGAAUAAAA